GAUGAAGAACGUAGCGAAAUGCGAUACGUAAUGUGAAUUGCAGAAUUCAGUGAAUCAUCGAGUCUUUGAACGCACAUUGCGCCCCCUGGUAUUCCGGGGGGCAUGCCUGUCCGAGCGUCAUUGCUGCCCUCAAGCACGGCUUGUGUGUUGGGCCUCCGUCCUCCUCCCGGGGGACGGGCCCGAAAGGCAGCGGCGGCACCGCGUCCGGUCCUCGAGCGUAUGGGGCUUCUUCACCCGCUCUUGUAGGCCCGGCCGGCGCUUGCCGACACAUCAAUCUUUUUUCCAGGUUGACCUCGGAUCAGGUAGGGAUACCCGCUGAACUUAAGCAUAUCAAUAAGCGGAGGA
rnacentral:misc_RNA from 1 species